rnacentral:snoRNA from 1 species
AUCCGGCUUGAUAACUAGGCGGCCGGUCUCAACAACCUACGACGUCUGCCUUUUAAGUAGCCGGUAUAUUGAUCUGUCGAAGAUCUUACACGUUUUCAAAGCGCUGUUAUGGCUUUUUUUUUCAGUAUUUGACGACUUUUAAAUCUUCGCAACAUAC